rnacentral:rRNA from 1 species
UAAUACGAAGGGGGCUAGCGUUGUUCGGAUUUACUGGGCGUAAAGCGCGCGCAGGCGGCUUUGCAAGUUGAGGGUGAAAUCCCAGAGCUCAACUCUGGAAUUGCCUUCAAGACUGUGAGGCUUCGAGUACGGGAGAGGUGAGUGGAAUUCCCAGUGUAGAGGUGAAAUUCGUAGAUAUUGGGAAGAACACCGGUGGCGAAGGCGGCUCACUGGCCCGUUACUGACGCUCAGGCGCGACAGCGUGGGGAUCAAACAGGAUUAGAUACCCUGGUAGUCCACGCCGUAAACGAUGGACGCUAGCCGUUGGCAAGCUUGCUUGUCAGUGGCGCAGCUAACGCAUUAAGCGUCCCGCCUGGGGAGUACGGCCGCAAGGUUG